rnacentral:rRNA from 1 species
UACGAAGGGGGCUAGCGUUGCUCGGAAUCACUGGGCGUAAAGCGCACGUAGGCGGAUUGUUAAGUCAGGGGUGAAAUCCUGGAGCUCAACUCCAGAACUGCCUUUGAUACUGGCGACCUUGAGUCCGGGAGAGGUGAGUGGAACUGCGAGUGUAGAGGUGAAAUUCGUAGAUAUUCGGAAGAACACCAGUGGCGAAGGCGGCUCACUGGACCGGUAUUGACGCUGAUGUGCGAAAGCGUGGGGAGCAAACAGG